rnacentral:rRNA from 2 species
UCUAUAAUGCAGUCGAGCGACCAAUAAGAAGCUUGCUUUUUGUUGGUUAGCGGCGGACGGGUGAGUAACACGUGGGUAACCUGCCUGUAAGACCGGGAUAACUCCGGGAAACCGGUGCUAAUACCGGAUAGAUUAUCUUUCCGCCUGGAGAGAUAAGGAAAGAUGGCUUUUGCCAUCACUUACAGAUGGGCCCGCGGCGCAUUAGCUAGUUGGUGAGGUAACGGCUCACCAAGGCGACGAUGCGUAGCCGACCUGAGAGGGUGAUCGGCCACACUGGGACUGAGACACGGCCCAGACUCCUACGGGAGGCAGCAGUAGGGAAUCUUCCGCAAUGGACGAAAGUCUGACGGAGCAACGCCGCGUGAGUGAAGAAGGUCUUCGGAUCGUAAAGCUCUGUUGUUAGGGAAGAACAAGUAUCGGAGGAAAUGCCGGUACCUUGACGGUACCUGACGAGAAAGCCACGGCUAACUACGUGCCAGCAGCCGCGGUAAUACGUAGGUGGCAAGCGUUGUCCGGAAUUAUUGGGCGUAAAGCGCGCGCAGGCGGUCCUUUAAGUCUGAUGUGAAAUCUUGCGGCUCAACCGCAAGCGGUCAUUGGAAACUGGGGGACUUGAGUGCAGAAGAGGAAAGCGGAAUUCCACGUGUAGCGGUGAAAAUGCGUAGAGAUGUGGAGGAACACCGUGGCGAAGGCGGCUUUCUGGUCUGUAACUGACGCUGAGGCGCGAAAGCGUGGGGAGCAAACAGGGAUAGAUACCCCGGUAAUCCACGCCGUAAACGAUGAGUGCUAGUGUUGGAAGG